GUCUAUUUGACAUAAUAAAUAGUCUAACCUGCUCACUGACAAAAGUUAAAGAGCCGCGGUAUUCUGACCGUGCAAAGGUAGCAUAAUCAUUAGUUUCUUAAUUAGAAACUCGUAUGAAUGGUUGAACAAAAGAAGAGCUGUCUCUGGUAUAGAAAUAGAAUUUAACUUUUAAGUGAAAAGGCUUAAAUUAUUCAAGGGGACGAUAAGACCCUAUAAAGCUUUAUAUUGUCAGCUGAAUUUUAAUUGAAUUAGAGAAAGUUAAAGAUUUUAAUGGGCUAUUAUAUUUUAUUGGGGAGGUACAAGUAUAAUUUUUAUAACUGCUUAUAAUUAAUACAUAGAUAGUUGGUUUUUGUUUUAAUGAUCCUUUAUUAAUAAAGAUUAAAGACUAAGUUACUUUAGGGAUAACAGCGUUAUUUUUUUUGAGAGUUCAUAUCGAAAAAAAAGUUUGCGACCUCGAUGUUGAAUUAAAAUUAUCUUUAUAGUGCAGCUGCUAUAAAAGAGGGUCUGUUCGACCUUUAAAUUUUUACAUGAUUUGAGUUCAGACCGGCGUGAGCCAGGUCGGUUUCUAUCUCUUGAAAUUAAGGGUAAACUAUUAUAGUACGAAAGGAUUUAAUAGUUUAAAAUUUUUAUCUAGGUUUGGAAU
rnacentral:rRNA from 1 species